rnacentral:rRNA from 1 species
GAUGAACGCUGGCGGCGUGCCUAAUACAUGCAAGUCGAACGCUGAAGCUUGGUGCUUGCACCGAGCGGAUGAGUUGCGAACGGGUGAGUAACGCGUAGGUAACCUGCCUCUUAGCGGGGGAUAACUAUUGGAAACGAUAGCUAAUACCGCAUAAAAGUCGAUAUCGCAUGAUAUUGAUUUGAAAGGUGCAAAUGCAUCACUAAGAGAUGGACCUGCGUUGUAUUAGCUAGUUGGUGAGGUAACGGCUCACCAAGGCGACGAUACAUAGCCGACCUGAGAGGGUGAACGGCCACACUGGGACUGAGAACCGGCCCAGACUCCCACGGGGGGCAGCAGUAGGGAAUCUUCGGAAAUGGGGGCAACCCUGACCGAGCAACGCCGCGGGGGUGAAGAAGGUUUUCGGAUCGUAAAGCUCUGUUGUAAGGAAAGAAAGGGGGGGAGAGGGGAAAUUUCCAACGGUGGCGGUACUUUACCAAAAAGGGACGGCUAACUACGG